UCCGGUUUGUCACCGGCAGUCUCGCAUGAGUCCCCGGCGUUACCGCUGGCAACAUGCGACAGGGGUUGCGCUCGUUGCGCCACUUAAGGCAACACCUCACGACACGAGCUGACGACAGCCAUGCAGCACCUGUGUCCACGCCCCUUGCGGGGAGGAACCCGUCUCCGGGAACCGUCGUGGCAUGUCAAGGGCUGGUAAGGUUCUGCGCGUUGCUUCGAAUUAAACCACAUGCUCCACCGCUUGUGCGGGCCCCCGUCAAUUCCUUUGAGUUUCAGUCUUGCGACCGUACUCCCCAGGCGGAGUGCUUAAUGCGUUUGCUGCAGCACUAAAGGGCGGAAACCCUCUAACACUUAGCACUCAUCGUUUACGGCGUGGACUAC
rnacentral:misc_RNA from 1 species